rnacentral:lncRNA from 1 species
GGGGGGUGUCAUGACAAUGGAGGAUAACGGGUUCAUCACACGUUUUGGGUGGCUGGGAUGUAAGUAUUCGUUUCAAUUACUUAAAAAACAUAUUUGAUAUGUUACUCAAUAAAAUCAUAUAUUUUAUGUUGAAUUGGAAAAUAAAUUAUCGUAGUUUGUUUAUUACAUCAUUCGAUUAUUUAUGAGUUUAAUACUUUUUCUUCAAUUUCGAAUUGCUUUAAUUAUCCAUAAUCGUCAACACGGCAUUGAUGAAUUCGUAGAUGAUAAGGUCAAAUCUUAUUAUCACUUGUUUAUGAAAAUUAUACUCCUUAAGCUUUUGGUGAAGAAAUUGAAGAGAGCUUAUUAAAAGUAAAAAUUCUUAAAAAUAUAUAUGUAGCAUCUCUAUCCAUCUGAACUUUUUCAAACAUGAUUUUUACAUGGUGAUUUUGUUGCGUUGCUUCACUGUUAAUGGCCAGAGACUUACGCUACAGCGUUGCCGCCCACCUUCUUGUCCAAGUUCCUAUUCUUCUUGUUUUUAUUCCUUCCAUCUCACAAAUUUAAUCUGAAAUUGCCUUUUUUCUGAAAUUUUUGUGAUGGCUGACUUCUUCGAACUGCUCGAAAAAAAUUAUCCUUCGCAAUGGCCUUUCGGACAUGAUAAAAUGGUUAAUGCACCGAUUUCCCAUGGACGGGUUAACCUAAAAAAAUUUACCUCCAUUAUAACCAACAGAUCUCAAGACCUUUCACGUCCACAUAAGCCGUGUUUUUGUUCACUUGGACAAACCGUUAGCGACAUGUGGUCUCCUUCGGUGGGAUAUAGUUAGCCGCAUGCAUUCUAACAGUAAAGUCAAUUGAGGACGUUGAUGUAUGAGUGUGGGAGGACUUUAGACGUAUGUAAAAAGAGGGCCAGUUUUGGGGAGUAAAGAAUAAAAUAGUGAUAUGACAAAUUUAUAGUUUUAGAGUCUAAAAUUGCGUUACCCUCGAAUGACAUCAAGUGUGAAUUUUUAUGGUAGAGGAGGGCGAGUAAGAACCAUCGAAUGAAAAAACAUGUGGUCUCAUCUAUAUAGCCGAGACCUCUUAUCUUAUAUAUCAAUCAAUCAUAAGGCUUAAAUGCUAAUGCCAUUUUAGCAUCCAUGUCUCCUAAUUGGCAACCGUGGACUUGACUGGAUAGGCUGAUAGUGGCAGCGCUGACAAUGAAUUGUCAUAUCAAUCACGUCAAAAAGAUUGCUUUGAAGUUCUUGUGCCAAUCUUCUUCUGCGGCUUCGCCUCUCCCCAUGGAUGCUCUUGAGCACGUACUCUUACUUGCGGAGGGUCAGUAAUAUUUGAUGGGGUCGGCAGACACAUGAAUUUGGUCACCUACGUAAAACCAUGUUGGGAAUAUUUGGGCGUAACAACUUUUGUUUCCAUAAAGUAAGUAUGACUAUUACCAGCAUGCAUUUUUGUUAUGCAGAAUCACGUUCCUAUAAAAUAUCCUAACUACAUAAAACAAUUGCAUUGUGAAAGCACUGCUUCUAAGAAUUCAUGCCUGCUUACUAUUCCUAAUGUGAAAUGCUACUUGUACAGGCUCGUUAAAUAUAUGGGAUUACGGAAUGCUGAGCUGCAAGAUUUCAUACUAUUUUGGACAAAAUACCAAGUUAAACUAGCCAAUGAAAUCUUGCUACCUCAGUACUUGUAACCCCAUCUGUUUAAAAAAUUUGUACAGGUAGCAUUUUUCAUUCCUAAUAAAUUCCGUUUGUUUUCCUUUGUUCCAUACAGUUGAAAAGGAUGGAGUACAGAAAAGAGGUGAAAGAACAGCUGCAUGACGAACGCUGCAGUGCUGUACUGGUUCCAGGGAGAGAAGACGACAACAUCUAUGGAUGGAUGGAUGAAUGGCUGGCUGGCUGAAGAAAGUGACUACUCUAAACAGACAGUUGGCUAACGUCGUGUAUCUUCUACCAAAAAGUGUUCAUUUGGCACAUUUUCCUCUCAUAUUAUUUGUCAAAAUGUAUAUGAUGAUUUCCAGAUUGUGUGGCCUAUACGUUUGUUGCAAGAAAUAUAUGGAAUCUUGUUAAGGAUUUAUGUCAUCCAGUAAAGUAUAAUAAUUCACGUGAUCCAUUUAUAAGUCGGCGCAAACUUGUCA